rnacentral:lncRNA from 1 species
GCCAUGUCCUAUAUUCACCUGGGCCUGCUAAUAAGAAACCAUCUAGAGCACCGGUUCUCAAUCUGUGGAUAUCAGAUAUCCUGCAUAUCAAGUAUUUAAGUGACAAUAGCAAAAUUGAAGUUAGGAAGUUGCAAUGAUAUAAUUGUAUGGUUGAGGGUCACCACAACACGAGGAACUGUAUUAAAGGGUCGCAGCAUUAGGAUGGUUGAGAACCACUGAUCUAGAGGCAGCCUGUUGAUUACCAGUGUUCCUCCAAAGAAGGUGAUGGAGAGAUCUGUUGCCUAUCUGAGAUUCUAGCUCUUUCCACUUGCUCCUCCAAGCCAUCUGCAAGCAAUUCUGCUCUAAUUGCACAUGACCCCAGGGUAGGGGGAGCUGGAGGGUGUGUAGGCUGGGCUUGGUUAAGUGUGGGGAGGGAACUCCAGCUCUGUGGCUGUGAGGAUAUCAUGAUCCAUGCUGGAUGAAAGACUUUCUGCUUCGGCUUCUGCUAUGCUUCUCGAUGCAAUGUGAUCCACCGGCAAGGAGGCACACCAAUGGAAGGUGUCCGAUAAGAGGAACAGUGGAAUUCUGUGGGCUGGAGAAAUUCAGGCAGCUGGCAGUUGAACUUUAAGUACCACUGUAGCAGACACCAGCCUUCCCUCUCAGUCUCACUGGCCUUGAAGUGAUGAUAAUGACACAUUCGGAGCAGCUGGAGAUUUCUGUGGAGCCAGACUGCAGAGGUGACCAUAAGGAAGAGAGUGCAGAUGAAACAGGAAAAGCAGAUGCCAGAGAGGCUGAGGAUGGGUGAGCAAAGUGCAGUAACGCAGAGCACAUGGCAAAUACAGCGUGUAUGGUGGCAAUAUUCACUAGACUGUUACCAGAGAAGUCUCAGCAGUGUGAGAAACUUCAAAAUCCUGCUGCACUGA